GACGAACGCUGGCGGCGUGCUUAACACAUGCAAGUCGAACGGAAAGGCCCUGCUUUUGUGGGGUGCUCGAGUGGCGAACGGGUGAGUAACACGUGAGUAACCUGCCCUUGACUUUGGGAUAACUUCAGGAAACUGGGGCUAAUACCGGAUAGGAGCUCCUGCUGCAUGGUGGGGGUUGGAAAGUUUCGGCGGUUGGGGAUGGACUCGCGGCUUAUCAGCUUGUUGGUGGGGUAGUGGCUUACCAAGGCUUUGACGGGUAGCCGGCCCGAGAGGGUGACCGGCCACAUUGGGACUGAGAUACGGCCCAGACUCCUACGGGAGGCAGCAGUGGGGAAUAUUGCACAAUGGGCGGAAGCCUGAUGCAGCAACGCCGCGUGCGGGAUGACGGCCUUCGGGUUGUAAACCGCUUUCGCCUGUUACGAAGCGUGAGUGACGGUAAUGGGUAAAGAAGCACCGGCUAACUACGUG
rnacentral:rRNA from 1 species